rnacentral:rRNA from 1 species
CCUACGGGUUGCAGCAGUGGGGAAUAUUGCACAAUGGGCGCAAGCCUGAUGCAGCCAUGCCGCGUGUAUGAAGAAGGCCUUCGGGUUGUAAAGUACUUUCAGCGGGGAGGAAGGUGUUGUGGUUAAUAACCACAGCAAUUGACGUUACCCGCAGAAGAAGCACCGGCUAACUCCGUGCCAGCAGCCGCGGUAAUACGGAGGGUGCAAGCGUUAAUCGGAAUUACUGGGCGUAAAGCGCACGCAGGCGGUUGAUUAAGUUAGAUGUGAAAUCCCCGGGCUUAACCUGGGAAUGGCAUCUAAGACUGGUCAGCUAGAGUCUUGUAGAGGGGGGUAGAAUUCCAUGUGUAGCGGUGAAAUGCGUAGAGAUGUGGAGGAAUACCGGUGGCGAAGGCGGCCCCCUGGACAAAGACUGACGCUCAGGUGCGAAAGCGUGGGGAGCAAACAGGAUUAGAUACCCUCGUAGUC